CACGUAGGGGGCAAGCGUUGUCCGGAUUUAUUGGGCGUAAAGAGCUCGUAGGUGGCUGAGUAAGUCGGGUGUUAAAUCCCCAGGCUCAACUGGGGAGGGUCAUUCGAUACUGAUCGACUCGAAGGCAGGAGAGGGUAGUGGAAUUCCCGGUGUAGUGGUGAAAUGCGUAGAUAUCGGGAGGAACACCAGUGGCGAAGGCGGCCUUCUGGGAUGCAUCUGACGCUCAGACACGAAAGCUAGGGGAGCGAACGGG
rnacentral:rRNA from 1 species